GUCCUAGCUGUAAACGAUGGACACUAGGUGGAAGGGGGCUUGCCCUUUUCUGCCGCAGCUAACGCGUUAAGUGUCCCGCCUGGGGAGUACGGCCGCAAGGUUAAAACUCAAAGGAAUUGACGGGGGCUCGCACAAGCGGUGGAGCAUGUGGUUCAAUUCGAUGCAACGCGAAGAACCUUACCCGGGCUUGAAGUGUGGGUGGUAGAAACCGGAAACGGCAACGACCCCGCAAGGGGAGCCUACAUCAGGUGUUGCAUGGCUGUCGU
rnacentral:rRNA from 1 species